AACACGUGGAUAAUCUACCCGAUAGAUUGGGAUAACAUUUCGAAAGGAAUGCUAAUACCAAAUAAGCCCACAAUGUCCUAGGACGAAGUGGGAAAAGGUGGGGACCUUCGGGCCUGCCGUUAUCGGAUGAGUCCGCGGCCCAUUAGCUAGUUGGUAGGGUAAUGGCCUACCAAGGCUACGAUGGGUAGCUGGUCUGAGAGGAUGAUCAGCCACACUGGAACUGAGACACGGUCCAG
rnacentral:rRNA from 1 species